UGAAACAAAGACGCCACAUUAUCUUGUAUCCCUUACCAAUUAUUUAAUGCCAUUUCAACAUCUUUUUCUAUGUCAUUGACACAUCAUUUUGGUGAUUUUUUUAACCUGAACCCUAAACUAUGGAUCCUGAACCUUGAACCCUAAACCAUGGACCCUGGACCUAGGGACCCUGUACCUUGGACCCAAGGUUUAGGGUCGAGGUUGAGAUUAGGGUUCAAAAUCCAAAGUUUAGGGUUUAGCAUCCAAGGUUCAAGGUUUGGGGUCCAAGGUCGAAGGUUUAAGAUUCAGGGUCCAGGGUUCAAGGUCUAGAGUUCAAGGUCUAGGAUCGAUGUUUCAAGUUAAAAAUUACCAAAAUGAUGUGUCAAUGACAUGGAAAAAGAUGUUGAAAUGGCAUUAAAUAAUUGGUAAGGGAUACAGGAUGAUGUGGCAUUAAAUAAUUA
rnacentral:pre_miRNA from 1 species